rnacentral:rRNA from 1 species
CGGGUGAGUAACGCGUGGGUAACCUGCCUUACACCCCGGGGAUAACAGUUAGAAAUGACUGCUAAUACCGCAUAAGACCCCGGUACCGCAUGGUACAGAGGUAAAAACUGAGGUGGUGUAAGAUGGACCCGCGUCUGAUUAGGUAGUUGGUGAGGUAACGGCUCACCAAGCCGACGAUCAGUAGCCGGCCUGAGAGGGUGGACGGCCACAUUGGGACUGAGACACGGCCCAGACUCCUACGGGAGGCAGCAGUGGGGAAUAUUGCACAAUGGGGGAAACCCUGAUGCAGCGACGCCGCGUGAGCGAUGAAGUAUUUCGGUAUGUAAAGCUCUAUCAGCAGGGAAGAAAAUGUUUUUUUUUGACUAAGAAGCCCCGGCUAACUACGUGCCAGCAGCCGCGGUAAUACGUAGGGGGCAAGCGUUAUCCGGAUUUACUGGGUGUAAAGGGAGCGUAGACGGCAGCACAAGUCUGGAGUGAAAUCCCGGGGCUUAACC